GCAGGACUUAGAGGUACCCAGCAUCACGGCUCCAGACCACCACCAGGGGGAGUUAGAGGUACCCAGUUUCACGGCUCCAGACCACCACCAGGGGGAGUUAGAGGUACCCAGUGUCACGGCUCCAGACCACCACCAGGGGGAGGUAGAGGUACCCAGUGUCACGGCUCCAGACCACCACCAGGGGAGUUAGAGGUACCCAGUGUCAUGGCUUCAUUGCUCCAGACCACCACCAGGGGGAGUUAGAGGUACCCAGUGUCACGGCUCCAGACCACCACCAGGGGGAGGUAGAGGUACCCAGUGUCACGGCUUCAGACCACCACCAGGGGGAGUUAGAGGUACCCAGCAUUACGGCUUCAUUGCUCCAGACCACCACCAGGGGGAGUUAGAGGUACCCAGUGUCACGGCUCCAGACCACCACCAGGGGAGUUAGAGGUACCCAGUUUCACGGCUCCAGACCACCACCAGGAGGAGGUAGAGGUACCCAGUGUCACGGUUCCAGACCACCACCAGGGGGAGUUAGAGGUACCCAGUGUAACGGCUCCAGACCACCACCAGGGGGAGUUAGAGGUACCCAGUGUCACGGCUUCAUUGCUCCAGACCACCACAAGGGGGAGUUAGAGGUACCCAGUGUAACGGCUCCAGACCACCACCAGGGGGAGUUAGAGGUACCCAGUGUCACGGCUUCAUUGCUUCAGACCACCACCAGGGGAGUUAGAGGUACCCAGUGUCAUGGCUCCAGACCACCACCAGGGGGAGUUAGAGGUACCCAGUGUAACGGCUCCAGACCACCACCAGGGGGAGGUAGAGGUACUCAGUGUCACGGCU
ensembl:lncRNA